rnacentral:rRNA from 1 species
GUCUACGGCCAUACCACCCUGAACGCACCCGAUCUCGUCUGAUCUUGGAAACCAAAUGGAUGAGUGAAGGGUGAAUAAUAGCCAAGACA